rnacentral:rRNA from 1 species
UACGUAGGGUGCGAGCGUUGUCCGGAAUUACUGGGCGUAAAGAGCUCGUAGGUGGUUUGUCGCGUUGUUCGUGAAAUCCCACGGCUUAACUGUGGGCGUGCGGGCGAUACGGGCAGACUGGAGUACUGCAGGGGAGACUGGAAUUCCUGGUGUAGCGGUGAAAUGCGCAGAUAUCAGGAGGAACACCGAUGGCGAAGGCAGGUCUCUGGGCCACUACUGACGCUGAGAAGCGAAAGCAUGGGGAGCGAACAGG